rnacentral:rRNA from 1 species
CCUACGGGUGGCAGCAGUGAGGAAUAUUGGUCAAUGGACGAGAGUCUGAACCAGCCAAGUAGCGUGAAGGAUGACUGCCCUAUGGGUUGUAAACUUCUUUUAUAUGGGAAUAAAAUGUUCCACGUGUGGGAUUUUGUAUGUACCAUAUGAAUAAGGAUCGGCUAACUCCGUGCCAGCAGCCGCGGUAAUACGGAGGAUCCGGGCGUUAUCCGGAUUUAUUGGGUUUAAAGGGAGCGUAGGUGGGUUGUUAAGUCAGUUGUGAAAGUUUGGGGCCCAACCGUAAAAUUGCAGUUGAAACGGGCAGUCUUGAGUACAGGAGAGGUGGGCGGAAUGCGUGGUGUAGCGGUGAAAUGCAUAGAUAUCGCGAAGAACUCCGAUUGCGAAGGCAGUUCACUGGACUGCAACUGACACUGAGGCUCGAAAGUGUGGGUAUCAAACAGGAUUAGAUACCCGGGUAGUC